CAUUACUCGAGCAUGUGAUCCUAUCAUGUGACCGAGCUGUAGUGGAGCGGUAUAUUCAAAUAUGCGAAAUCCCUACGAUUGUGGCAGGCUGCGUCUUCAUAGGACCUGCAACUUCAUUCUCGGGGUUGCAGAUUCCUAGAUAAACAGAUUGCCAGGAAUUGACUCAGGGUCAGAUUUCCUUUCCCCAUAUAGGAACUUCAGGAUAGGAUUCUGGUGUUUACCUGCUGAUAUAUAUUCACCUACUUGGACACUUUUGCAGGUGGGACAUUUUACAUCUGGCUGGUUAAAGGUGCAGAAGCAAAGUGAAUGGAUAAUUUAAGAUCACUUGGGGGCCUGUUCAUCAAAAGGUUGGAUUUUAGUGGUUUUUGAAAUCACGAUUAAACUCACAAACCCAACGAAUGUCAUGACAUUUAUUAAAAAAAUCAGAAUAAAAAAAGUACGAACUGGAAAUUACACUAAGGGGCAGAUUUAUCAAGGGUCGAAUUAAAAAAAUUUAAUUUUUGAAUUCAAAUUUUGAGCUGAUUUUGGGGGCAUAUUGAUCAAGGGUCGAAUUUCAAAUUGAAAUCGAAUUCAAAAAGAUCAACCGAAAUUUAGUCGAAUUCAUAAAUUAGAUUCAUAAAUUAGAAACCAUUUGAGUUCAUUCUAGAUACUAAAAAAAGUUCACAACCCUCUAAAACUCGGCCUUUGAUAAAUAAACCCCUCACAUUUUUAGAGCUUUUUUUGGAAAAAAAAAUUGGGAAAACUAUGAAUUUUUAGUAGGGAUGGGCGAAUUUUUUCGCCUUGUUUCGCCGAAAAAA